GCUUGAAUAUUAGUAGUUAUGAUCUUUAAAUUCAAAGAAUUUGGCGGUAUUUUAGUCUUGUUAGAGGAACCUGUUCUAUAAAUGAUACUACACGAAGAAUCUUACUUACUUUUGUUUUUCAGUUUGUAUACCGUCAUUAUUAGAUAACCUUUUAUUGAGGGAGUUAUUGUAAGUAUGCGAAGGCAUAUAUAUUAGAUCAAGGUGCAGCUUAUAGGUAAGAAGAAAUGGGUUACAAUAAAAUUUAUUUACACACGUAUUAGCGGUUGAAUAAUUGUUAUGAAGGAGGAUUUAAUUGUAAUGUGAAUUUAAUAAGUUAACAUGAUAUGAGAACUAAAAUAUGUACAUAUCGCCCGUCGC
rnacentral:rRNA from 1 species